UGGGCAGGCAGGGGACAGCCUAUUUCCUUGUCCAGAACUCAGCCACGCGGCCACACCUAACCAACGAAGGAAGAAGAGAGAGGAACAGAUCCAGUGAGCAGUGUGGCCUCUGACACAGGGGUGUUUUGAAUGCAUAUUUGUCUGUGCCCACAUGUAUGCAGUGCCCAUCGAGGCCAGCCAGAAGAGGGUGUCAGAUCCCCUGGAACUAGAGACACGUGCCAAGUUUGCGUGUGGACAAAGGACAACCUAUGGGCGUGAGUUCUCUUCUUUCACCAUGGGGGACCCAGAGAUCAAACUGGAUCACCAGCACCUUUACCUGCCAAACCAUCUUACUGGACCUAAGCCUACAGACUUCUGGAAAUAAAUGAUGAGGCAAUGGAACAAUCAAUGGAAAGCAAGAUUCCAGGAUUUGUUUAGAGCGCCUGGACCUCGAACCAAACCUUUCUUGAAGCCCGUGACCUCUGGACUUUCCAGCUGUGUUCACCUUCGUCUCUCUGCUGCCUCUUUGACAUUCUCAGAACCCGGGAACAGGUGAUGCAGACUUCUCAUGUAUGGCUGAGCCCUCAACAGACCCUUGGGCCAGUUAUGAGUCUUUGCAGUAACUGUUGCCACGACAAAAGAAAUGUCUGUGGCCAAAACCAAGAGCAGCACUAUGGAGUAUGGACAUGGCUGUGGUUUGCAUAAGGUGUCCCAUCAUCUUGGGCAUUUGAAUACUUAGUCCCAGUUAGUGGUGCUGUUUGGGGACACAGGAAGAGUGGCCUUAUUAGAGGAAGUAUGCCGUUGGAAGUUCAGAGAUUCGUGCCAUUUCUAGUUUGCUCUCUGUUUCUUGCUUGUGGUUCAAGGUGUUAGCUCCCAUAUCAGUUUCUAGCUCCAGCCUCCCUGUGUGCCUACCCGCUGUCAUGCCUCCCCAUCUUUAUGGACCAUAACUCACCAGGACCAUACGCCCAGAUAAAUCCUUCUUCUAUAAGUUGUCUUGCUCAUGGUAUUUUAUCAAAACAAUUAAUACAAAUAGAAAUAUAUAGAAAGCAGUUUCACCGGAACUUGAUCUUGAUUGCCCGCCAGAAUUGGGUGACAAAACCCAAUUGUUGAAGACAGCACACACGUCGGUUGCAGAACGUAGAGAAAGCAAGCUGGAGGCUUCCUUCUUGCUGUCUGGCUCUCAUAGUACUGGGAGUGGGGAGCUCCCAGUACUAUGAGAUCUUUUUUUUUAAUCAAACCAACAUCAU